rnacentral:rRNA from 2 species
UACGGAGGAUGCAAGCGUUAUCCGGAAUGAUUGGGCGUAAAGCGUCCGCAGGUGGCUUAUCAAGUCGAUUGUCAAAGGUCCUGGCUCAACUGGGAACAGGCAGUGGAAACUGAAAAGCUAGAGUGCGGUAGGGGUAGAGGGAAUUCCCGGUGUAGCGGUGAAAUGCGUAGAGAUCGGGAAGAACACCAGUGGCGAAAGCGCUCUACUAGGCCUGCACUGACACUCAUGGACGAAAGCUAGGGGAGCGAAUGGG